rnacentral:rRNA from 1 species
GUAAACCUCUUUUCUCAGGGAAUAAGAACUGAAGGUACCUGAGGAAUCAGCAUCGGCUAACUCCGUGCCAGCAGCCGCGGUAAUACGGAGGAUGCAAGCGUUAUCCGGAAUGAUUGGGCGUAAAGCGUCCGCAGGUGGUUUAUCAAGUCUGCUGUCAAAGAGUUUGGCUCAACCAAAUAAAGGCAGUGGAAACUGACAGACUGGAGUGCGGUAAGGGCAGAGGGAAUUCCUGGUGUAGCGGUGAAAUGCGUAGAGAUCAGGAAGAACACCGGUGGCGAAAGCGCUCUGCUGGGCCGUAACUGACACUGAGGGACGAAAGCUANGGGAGCGAAUGGGAUUAGAUACCCCAGUAGUCA